AUCAGAAGUGCGAAUGCUGACGUGAGUAACGACAAAACGGGUGAAAAACCCGUUCGCCGAAAGACCAAGGGUUCCAGUCCAACGUUAAUCGGGGCUGGGUGAGUCGACCCCUAAGGCGAGGCCGAAAGGCGUAGUCGAUGGGAAAAUGGUUAAUAUUCCAUUACUUCUGUGUAAUGCGAUGAGAGGACGGAGAAGGCUAAAUCAGCCUGGCGUUGGUUGUCCAGGUGAAAGGAUGUAGGCAUGUAUCUUAGGCAAAUCCGGGGUACUCUAUGCUGAGAUCUGAUAGCAAGCUGUACUUGUACAGCGAAGUGGUUGAUGCCAUGCUUCCAGGAAAAGUCUCUAAGCUUCAGUUACACAGGAAUCGUACCCGAAACCGACACAGGUGGUCAGGUCGAGUAGACCAAGGCGCUUGAGAGAACUCUGCUGAAGGAACUAGGCAAAAUGGUACCGUAACUUCGGGAGAAGGUACGCUGUUGUUGGUGAUGGAACUCGCUUCCUGAGCUGACGACAGCCGCAGAAACCAGGCCGCUGCAACUGUUUAUUAAAAACAUAGCACUCUGCAAACACGAAAGUGGACGUAUAGGGUGUGAUGCCUGCCCGGUGCUGGAAGGUUAAUUGAUGGGGUUAGCGUAAGCGAAGCUCUUGAUCGAAGCCCCAGUAAACGGCGGCCGUAACUAUAACGGUCCUAAGGUAGCGAAAUUCCUUGUCGGGUAAGUUCCGACCUGCACGAAUGGCAUAAUGAUGGCGGCGCUGUCUCCAGCAGAGGCUCAGUGAAAUCGAAAUCGCUGUGAAGAUGCAGUGUACCCGCGGCUAGACGGAAAGACCCCGUGAACCUUUACUGCAGCUUGACACUGAACUUUGACCUUACUUGUGUAGGAUAGGUGGGAGGCUUUGAAGCUGGAACGCUAGUUCCAGUGGAGCCGUCCUUGAAAUACCACCCUGGUAAUGUUGAGGUUCUAACUCUGUCCCGUGAUCCGGGACGAGGACCGUGUCUGGUGGGUAGUUUGACUGGGGCGGUCUCCUCCUAAAGAGUAACGGAGGAG
rnacentral:rRNA from 1 species